GACCCAUUAUUCCUCCUCAACAAAUCAAUGUUUCCUCGUGCCAGAGCGGAUUUUUUCCUAAGGGCUCUUUAGGGGGGAGGAGGUAUUCGGCGAUGCACAGGGGCGACCCCUCUUGAGCUUGGCCACGGGUAGGCAUGCUCAUGACGAGCCCUCAGGCACCCAACCCCGCGUGCUCCAUGGCGCGAGGUGGGCCCUAAAUGCAUCGCCGGGGUGGACCCAGGUUGGCAUUUCACGUGUACGUGGUAUAGCUGCGGCGCGCUCUUGCAAGGCGGACGGUGUUAGUUUCACCCAUUGCCACGCAGAGCAAGCCUAAGGUGAUGAUCAAACGCAUUGUGAAAGCUUUCUCUGGUGCCACUUUUCCUCGAGGCCACACCCACCCGUGCCCAGUGGCGGGGGGUCGAUGGUCUCAGUAGCCGCGUGGUGGGGGGAUGCAUGCAUUCUUGGUUUAGCUUGGUCACGCUAUCGCAACGCGGACGGUGUUAGUUUCACCCAUUGCU